CAAUUUGAUUGGUGAAAAUUUUUCAAAUACGAAAAAAAACAAAACAACGACAAUGGAAUGGAAUAUUGAAAAAUUUUGUGAUCCAAAAACUCGUGAAAAGGAAUUCCAAUGGUUAUUUGAUCAAGCUAAACAAUUUCAACAAACAAUCCAACGUUUUCGAAUCGGAAAAGAAUCGAUCAAUAUGGAUCGAUUUCGUGAUCUUGUCAAACAAGGCAAAAAACUAUUACAAAUCACUGAAAUACUUAAAAAUAAUUAUAGUAAUAAUUUUCUUGAUAUUUUUCGAUUAUGAUAAACUCAGUGGGUGGUGGUUAGUGGUGGUGGGCGUGUAUAAUCUUGUCACGAAUGUUGGAUAUUUUGGUGGUUGAACUUUUUGAUGGAGAAAAAAAAAACACUUAUACUUAUACUUGAUAAUAAAGAUAAUGAAAAAAAAGUAUUCAAUACAUGAUGAUAAUGAUACAUUAAACCACCAACGCGACCAUUUUUACAUAUUAUGAAUGAAGCAAGAUAAAUGACAUGAAUUUUUCUUUUUUUUAUUAUUCUUGAAAAAAGUUUGAAAUUUGACGAAAAAGAUUCAAACUUACUUAUUCACCAGUGUGUCACAUUUAUACACAAACACAGAGAGAGAGAGAGAGAGAGACGGAAAUGUGUGUUAACUCUUACUUAUUUGAUAUUUAUUACUUAAAAAUUCUUAAUAACAUCUUUCAUCAUUUAUUAU